CAUAUCACAAUGCAAAUUUUGCAAGUGGAAAUUACACCCAUCCAUAUGUUUUAAGAUCCAACUUCAAAAAUCAGAACCAAUGUUUAUUUAUUCAAAAAUCAGAUUAUAAUUAAAAGUUUUAAUAUUAAUAAUAAUAUUAUAAAAUCAACUUAAUUUACAUACCACACCCUCCACCAUUAACCCAUCCGGCUCAAUUUUCAAUCUAAAAACCCUAAUCACUUUCUUCUUCCUCCUUUCUCUCUACCUCUUCCUUCUCUCUUUUAGUAUCACUUCGACGACUUAUUUCCAUCGGUGGUGCGCAACUCUUCAAUCGCCGUUCAACGGAGCUCGAAUUUGUCAUCGUUUUGCGCAGCAACGAGUUCAAAGCAUCGCUCACAGUGACGUACACUCUGGUUGCCGAUGCUUCAGAUCUCUAGGUGGCGCUGCAGAUCCAUUCUUGGUAAUUGACGGUUCGGUGGUGGGAAUGGAGAUCUCUGGCGUGUGCGACGGUGAUGAGCUUCUAUGGUGUUGUGGAGGUGGAGGUGGAGGUGGAGGUGGAGGUGGAGGUGUGCAGUGAGAUGGUGGGAACGGAGAGCUCUAGUGGUGCGACGGUGGUGUAGUGCUAUGGGUACAUUGUGGUGGUGCAGUGGUUGGGUGCGUGUGGUACUGUGUGCAGUGGUGGCUCUGGAGAUGUGCAGUGGUGUUGACUGAUUCCGAUAGUGGUGGUGUUUUGUGCGGUACCUUGCUGAGGUGGUGGGUGCAAGUAU
rnacentral:lncRNA from 1 species